ensembl:lncRNA
GGCUACACCUUUAAACAUGCGGGGGACACCAAUCCUCAGGAACCGGGAAGGUAUAGCCGUGUGCAAUCCUGGCUCACCACCUAAGGCCUCUUGAUGGAAGGAUUGGUUUCACUGCCAAGCCGCCACUAGCCCAUUUGUGAGCAUGCAGUCGAAAAACCAAACAGAGAGAAGAAAAGCCACAGCCUAUUGUCUGUGGUCUCUGAGGCUGCAACCUGGAGGGCCAAGUUGUGGCUUGCAUAAGAGCACAUCAGAGGGCCAGGUGCGGAGGCUUACGCCUGUAAUCCCAGCACUUUGGGAGGCUGAGGGGCAUAGAUCACUUGAGGCCAAGAGCUCAAGACUGGCCUGGCCAAUGUGGUGAAACCCCGUCUCUACUAAAGGUACAAAAAUUAGCCGGGCAUGGUAGCGCAUGCCUGUAAUCCUAGCUACUCAGAGGGCUAAGGCAUGAGAAUUGUUUGAACCCAGGAGAUGGAGGUUGCAGUGAGCCGAGAUCGCACCACUGCACUCCAGCCUGGGCAACAGACCGAGACACUGUGUCAAAAAAAAAAAAAAAAAAAAAAAAAAAGUACAUCAAAGAGUAGCAAUGACCAUGGGCAGGUCAUUGGGAUUGUGUAAAUUCUCAGAAAGGAAAUGGACCAGAGAAGGCAUCCAACCCAGCCUCUUCAUUUGACUAAUGAGGAAACUCAGGUCUGCAAAUAAAUAAUUUGCCUAAGUUCACAGAAUAACUCACCCGGAUCCCAGAGCCGGAAGAGAGUGUAGGGGUCAUUUUGUCCAACUUCCUCCUUUUACCCAUGAAAACACCAAUGUCCAAAUCGUCUGGAACCAGAAUGCAGACUUUCCAGCUCUCUGAAUAUGGUUCCUUCUGCUAUGUCAUUUUAGUCACUUCCUUUCUUUCAUUUGAGAAACCCAUCUUAGAAAGUCCUAUGGGGCCAGGCAUGCAAGAUUAGGGAAAUAUUUUUCAACAUGAUCAAUAAGAGCAAAUGUUGUUGUUAACAUAGUUAAGCAUUUGUACAAUAAAUACAAAACUUACUUUAUAGUCACUGUCUUAUCUGAUCUUUAUAAGGCUCCCAGGAAGCAGAUAUGAAUACACCUGCCAUUUUACAGGGGAGAAAGUAUAUGACCAGAUAGGUUGUCAGCUCUUUAAAGACAAUGUCUUAUUUGAUUAACACUUGUUUGGAAAAAGAAAAAGAAAGCUUUCUUUUCCUUCUUGUUAUGCAUAUUCAUUAUAGAUACUAGAAAAUAGAGCAAAACAAAAUCAUAGCAUACAAACCAUUUGUAUUUUGUUGUACGGCAUGCUAGGGGUUUAAAAUUCUUAGACUCAAUUCUAAACUUUUGGAUUCCAAAUUUCAUGUUCCUUCUCCUUCACCUCAUGUUAGACACUAACAAUUAUAAAUUUUAGUUGCAGAGGGAAAUGAUUAAACCACAUGUGUGCUGCAUACUUUACAGGAACUCGCACUUACCGUACUUUGCUUUGUUUUUGCCAUCAGAAAUAGUAUAAGCUGCUUGAGUAUAAACGUGAUUUAUUAAGAAAUUGAAAGGUUUGGGAAGGGGUGAAGGGCUGCCCAGGGGAGUGUGGUGAAUUAAUGGGGAAGGCAGAGCUGGGAGUCUGACAGUCUCAGAAUCCCUCUCUAACCCACGCCCUGUGACUCACCCACUGGUAGAUUCAGAACAAGGUGCUUCCUAUGUGGGCCAUUUUCUCAGUUUACUAAAGUGACAAGAGAACUGAAGGCUGAGCAUGGUGGCUGGCUGGGCGCGGUGACUCGUGCCUGUAAUCUCAGCACUUUGGGAGGCUGAGGCGGGCAAAUCACGAGGUCAGGAGGUGGAGACCAUCCUGGCUAACACUAUGAAACUCCAUCUCUACUAAAAAUACAAAAAAAAAAAAAAAA